ensembl:snoRNA
UCUUUGUCAAUGAUGUAUUCUGUAAAAAUGUCUGAACUUAUGAAUUUCAGUGAUUCUGAUUAAUUUUUUAACUGAGACAAAGA